UGCCUGCCCGGUGAUUUUAAUAUUAAACGGCCGCGGUAUUUUUGACUGUGCGAAGGUAGCAUAAUCAUUUGCCUUUUAAUUGGGGGCUGGAAUGAAUGGCAAGACAGAGGCUGUGCUGUCUUUUCUUUGGUUUCUUGAAUUUAAUAUUGUUGUGAAGAAGCGACUAUUUGGCUGUAGGACGAGAAGACCCUGUCGAGCUUUAUUUUAGGAGCGGUUGUUUUGAAAAGUUGUGUUACUGCAGGCUAAUUUUUUUAUUACAUGAAAAAGUGAAGUUAUUUGGAGUGCGCAGAGUAGAGGGCUGUUUUUAUUGUUUGGUUGGGGCAACCGCGGAGAAUAUGAAUCCUCCGUUAUUAGUAAUAAUUUGGAAAAAUAACUAUUUUGUUAGGUAAAAGUGAUUCGAAUAGAGAUCCACUAGAAAGUAGUGAUUAAAGGAAAAAGUUACCGCAGGGAUAACAGCGUUAUUUCUUUGGAGAGUUCGUAUUGAUAAAGGAGUUUGCGACC
rnacentral:rRNA from 2 species